UACGAAGGGGGCUAGCGUUGUUCGGAAUUACUGGGCGUAAAGGCGUGCGCAGGCGGCUUCUCAAGUCAGGGGUGAAAGCCCAGAGCUCAACUCUGGAAUUGCCUUUGAGACUGAGUGGCUUGAGUACGAGAGAGGUGAGUGGAAUUCCCAGUGUAGAGGUGAAAUUCGUAGAUAUUGGGAAGAACACCGGUGGCGAAGGCGGCUCACUGGCUCGUAACUGACGCUCAUGCACGACAGCGUGGGGAUCAAACAGG
rnacentral:rRNA from 1 species